rnacentral:tRNA from 1 species
GGGGAUAUAGCUCAUUUGAUAGAGUGCUUGUCUUGCAUGCAUUAAGCCCUAGGUUCAAACCCCAGCACCACUA